rnacentral:rRNA from 1 species
GACGAACGCUGGCGGCGUGCUUAACACAUGCCAGUCGAACGGAAAGGCCUGCUUUCCCUUGUGGAUUGCGGGUACUCGAGUGGCGAACGGGUGAGUAACACGUGAGCGAUCUGCCCCCAACUUGGGUAUAAGCCUGGGAAACUGGGUCUAAUUCCCGAUAGGACUGCAGGGUGGUGCCUGUGGUGGAAAACGAUUUUCUAGUGGUUGGGGAUGAGCUCGCGGCCUAUCAGCUUGUUGGUGGGGUAAUGGCCUACCAAGGCGGCGACGGGUAGCCGGCCUGAGAGGGUGGACGGCCACAUUGGGACUGAGAUACGGCCCAGACUCCUACGGGAGGCAGCAGUGGGGAAUAGUGCACAAUGGGCGGAAGCCUGAUGCAGCGACGCCGCGUGGGGGAUGACGGCCUUCGGGUUGUAAACUCCUUUCGACCGCGAGGAAGCCACCUGGUUGGAAGGGUGGUGACGGUAGUGGGAGAAGAAGCACCGGCUAACUACGUG